AACUAACAAGGAUUCCCCUAGUAACUGCGAGUGAAGAGGGAAAAGCUCAAAUUUAAAAUCUGGCAGCUUCGCUGUCCGAGUUGUAAUUUAGAGAAGUGUUACCCGCGUUGGACCGUGUACAAGUCUCCUGGAACGGAGCGUCAUAAGGGUGAGAAUCCCGUCUUUGACACGGACUACCAAGGCUUUGUGGUACGCUCUCGAAGAGUCGAGUUGUUUGGGAAUGCAGCUCUAAAUGGGUGGUAAAUUCCAUCUAAAGCUAAAUAUUGGCGAGAGACCGAUAGCAAACAAGUACCGUGAGGGAAAGAUGAAAAGAACUUUGGAAAGAGAGUUAAACAGUACGUGAAAUUGUUGAAAGGGAAACGCUUAAAGUCCAGUCGCGUUGGUUAGGAAUCAGCCUUGGUUUUCCUUGGUGUACUUCCUAAUUGACGGGUCAACAUCAGUUUUGACCGUUGGAUAAAGGUCGAGGGAAUGUGGCACCUUCGGGUGUGUUAUAGCCCUUGAUUGUAUACAGCGGUUGGGACUGAGGAACUCAGCACGCCGAAAGGCCGGGUCUUGUACCACGUUCGUGCUUAGGAUGUUGGCAUAAUGGCUUUAAUCGACCCGUCUUGAAACACGGACCAAGGAGUCUAACAUGCCUGCGAGUGUUUGGGUGGAAAACCCGAGCGCGUAAUGAAAGUGAAAGUUGAGAACUCUUAAGUGCAUCGACGCCCGGAGCAGACCUUUUGUGACGCAUCCGCGGUAGAGCAUGUAUGUUGUGACCCCGAAGA
rnacentral:rRNA from 1 species